GCCAGAAUUUAGUUUCUUGUUAAAAUAAGCUCGUUUUUCAUUUCUGAUAACAAGCGUCGCUCUGUUUCGAGCCGAUUUAAAGGCAUUCCAAUUUUCCAACGUGGGUUUCUUUUUCCAUAUGGAAUGAAGUUUAUUUCGUAACUUAAUUGAUUUCAGAGAUUUUGAGGUAAACCAUGGACAGGACAUAGACUUAUUAGUGAUUGUACGAAUGGGGACAUGUCUCUCGAAGGCUGACUUUAAAAUUCCCAUUAAGAAAUCAAGUUUUUCAUCGGUAGAUGGAUAUAUCCAGCAUUCACUCCAGUCUACACAAUACAAUUCCGAAAGAAGUAAAUUUGUGUUGACAAAGCGGUAAUCUCUAAAAGAGAUAGUCUUAUUUAUGCAACAACGAUCGAUAUUUAUGUCCAAACAGCAGAAAAUGAGAUCAUGGUCAGAUAUAAAAGUUAAUUGGUCAAAUUUUAAUACAGUAGUUAAGUCAAGAAUUAUGAAGUAGUCAAGAAGACUAGGAGUGCAAUUCACUGCAAACCGCGUAGGAAGAGAUCGGUUGACCACAGAGAGAGAG